ACAAAACACUUUUCAGCCUGCUCUUCCCGGUUCUUCCCUGAGAUGGGAAAACCUGGGUUGAGAGGGUGCCCUGUCCCAAAAG
rnacentral:pre_miRNA from 13 species